ACGGCUCAGUAACACGUCGGUAACCUACCCUCGGGAGGGGGAUAACCCCGGGAAACUGGGGCUAAUUCCCCAUAGGCCUGAGGUACUGGAAGGUCCUCAGGCCGAAAGGGACUUAUGUCCGCCCGAGGAUGGGCCGACGGCCGAUUAGGUAGUUGGUGGGGUAAUGGCCCACCAAGCCGAAGAUCGGUACGGGCUGUGAGAGCAGGAGCCCGGAGAUGGACACUGAGACACGGGUCCAGGCCCUACGGGGCGCAGCAGGCGCGAAGCCUCCGCAAUGCGGGAAACCGCGACGGGGGGACCCCGAGUGCCGUGGCAACGCCACGGCUUUUCCGGAGUGUAAAAAGCUCCGGGAAUAAGGGCUGGGCAAGGCCGGUGGCAGCCGCCGCGGUAAUACCGGCGGCCCGAGUGGUGGCCGCUAUUAUUGGGCCUAAAGCGUCCGUAGCCGGGCCCGUAAGUCCCUGGCGAAAUCCCACGGCUCAACCGUGGGGCUUGCUGGGGAUACUGCGGGUCUUGGGACCGGGAGAGGCGGGGGGUACCCCUGGGGUAGGGGUGAAAUCCUAUAAUCCCAGGGGGACCGCCAGUGGCGAAGGCGCCCCGCUGGAACGGGUCCGACGGUGAGGGACGAAGGCCAGGGGAGCAAACCGGAUUAGAUACCCGGGUAGUCCUGGCUGUAAAGGAUGCGGGCUAGGUGUCGGGUGAGCCUCGAGCUCGCCCGGUGCCGUAGGGAAGCCGUUAAGCCCGCCGCCUGGGGAGUACGGCCGCAAGGCUGAAACUUAAAGGAAUUGGCGGGGGAG
rnacentral:rRNA from 1 species